rnacentral:tRNA from 1 species
CAAAUUAUAGCUCAAAGGGAGCGUUGUUAUUUACAUUAAUAAUCUAGUUGUGCAAUUCAACUUAAUUUGA